rnacentral:tRNA from 1 species
GCCUGAGUGGCUCAGUGGUUGAGCGUCUGGCUUUGGCUCAGGGUGUUAUCCUGGGGUGCCAGGAUCAAAUCCUGGAUCAGGCU